rnacentral:rRNA from 1 species
GACAGAGGGUGCCAACGUUGCUCGGAAUCACUGGGCGUAAAGGGCGUGUAGGCGGGAAGGGAAGUCAGAUGUGAAAUCCCUGGGCUCAACCCAGGAACUGCAUUUGAAACUCCCUUUCUUGAGUACCGGAGAGGAAGGUGGAAUACCUGGUGUAGAGGUGAAAUUCGUAGAUAUCAGGUGGAACACCAGUGGCGAAGGCGGCCUUCUGGACGGUAACUGACGCUGAGACGCGAAAGCGUGGGGAGCAAACAGG